GCCUGGUUGGCUCACUUAGUAGAGCAUGCGACUCUUGAUUUCAGGGGCAUGAGUUCGAGCCCCACACUAGGUG
rnacentral:tRNA from 1 species